AGUAUGGAGCAAUCUCAAUGAUUCUUCCGUGGCGACACUUAUGGAAGCCUUUGCAGCCCCGCAAGGGGUGGGGAGCACGACUGUAAAUAAGUCUCCCUUCAUGCAAGUCAGCACCCGCUGGCAACACGAUCGAAUUGACGGGGACGUCCUAAAGCCUACAACACCAACCCGCCCGGGAAACCGAGGCGGGGGCCCGUGCUAACUCCACGGGGUGGUAAAAGAGUGUAUGGAUACUCCCUCUGGGGAACUAUGGAUAAUCCGCAGCGAAGACCCUAAGUAGCGCUAGCUAUACGGGUAACGUUCACAGACUAAGUGGUUGUGGGUGGAGCCUAGCUCUGCUUAAGAUAUAGUCGGGCCCUACGUGAAAGCGCAGGGGUGAGUCGCUACGAACUCGAAACCGUUCCGUAGGUGAACCUGCGGAAGGAUCAUUACAGUAGUCGCCCGGGUUGCCGCAAGGCCUCCCGGGUAACCUACCACCCUUUGUUUAUUACACUUUGUUGCUUUGGCAGGCCUGCCCUCGGGCUGCUGGCUCCGGCCGGCGAGCGCUUGCCAGAGGACUAAACUCUGUUUGUCCAUACUGUCUGAGUACUAUAUAAUAGUUAAAACUUUCAACAACGGAUCUCUUGGUUCUGGCAUCGAUGA
rnacentral:misc_RNA from 1 species